UCCCCGGUAGCUCAAUAGGCAGAGCGGGUGACUGUUAAUCACUAGGUUGGCGGUUCAAGUCCGUCCCGGGGAG
rnacentral:tRNA from 1 species